CCACUUGUAUUCCAACUACUAACAUCAAUCAACUUAGUACUAUGUAAAUAACUUAGAGUUAUUGAGUAUGGAUGUCCUAAUCUUUGAUGCCAAAUUGUGUCUGAGUUCUUGUCUACUUUUAUAACUGCCAAUGUCUCAUGCAAGCCAUCUUCAAAAGUAUAUAAAUCAUGCCUCUUAUUUCCUAUUUCUAGAAUUGUCAGUGUUCUCUUGUCCUUAACAAAAAAACC
rnacentral:lncRNA from 1 species